GGAUAGCUCAUAUUCACAAGGACUUCGUGGUUUACAAUCAUAAAGGUUCCCAACCUAUUCCUAAACAAAGCACGGUCAGAUGGCAUUGGGAAGAGGACUGCAGAGCCCAAGGACAUUGCUAAUUCUUUGGAACUCGUUGUCAUGGAGCAAGGUAGACUGAAAUUAGCAUGUGUCCAAAUUAAAACUGCAGACUUCAAGGAUUAUUUGAUGGACUAUUCUGAGACCCUUUCCUAAAGAUUUAGGAAAAAAAAGAUUCUGAUUUGAUUGCUACGAGGACUCUGUUUUUGGAUGCUG
rnacentral:lncRNA from 1 species